rnacentral:rRNA from 1 species
CAAAAGAGUGGGAAGAGCUUUGAGUAGAGGUGACAAACCUACCGAGCUCAGUUAUAGCUGGUUGCCUGAGAAAUGAAUAGGAGUUCAGCCCUUUAAAUCUUCCCCCAUCACCUAUGCUUAUGCUAAAAUUGAUUAAGGAAAUUAAAGGUGUUAAUUAAAAGGGGUACAGCCCUUUUAAUAAAAGAAACAACUUUAACAGGUGACCCCAGAUCAUACUACCUAAGGGUUUCAAAUUUAGUGGGCCUAAAAGCAGCCAUCUUAACAGAAAGCGUUAAAGCUCAAAUUAGCUAAUACCCUCAUAUACUGAUAUUUCAUCUCCCUCCCUGCCCCUUACCAGGCUAUUUUAUGCCCUCAUAAGAAUAAUUAUGCUAAAAUGAGUAAUAAGAAGAAUUUAAUUUUUCUCCCAGCACAUGUGUAAGUCGGAACGGACCCUCCACCGACUAUUAACCGACCCCAAACCCAGAGGGAAAUAAGUCGAAUAACCAAGAAGAACACUUAUUUUUUAUCGUUAGCCCUACACAGGUGUGCUCAAAGGAAAGACUAAAAGAGAAGGAAGGAACUCGGCAAACCCAAGCCUCGCCUGUUUACCAAAAACAUCGCCUCUUGCUCUUAAAGUAUAAGAGGUCCCGCCUGCCCUGUGACUAUAAGUUUAACGGCCGCGGUAUUUUAACCGUGCGAAGGUAGCGUAAUCACUUGUCCUUUAAAUGAAGACCUGUAUGAAUGGCAUCACGAGGGCUUAGCUGUCUCCCAUCUCCAGUCAAUGAAAUUGACCUCCCCGUGCAGAGGCGGGGAUAACCCCAUAAGACGAGAAGACCCUAUGGAGCUUUAAACCUAAAGUAAAUCACGUUUAACAUGCUACAAUAAUAGUAAAAACUUACUGAUAUUUACUGAAGUGUUUUUGGUUGGGGCGACCGCGGGGUAAAACACAACCCCCAUGUAGACCGGGGAUAUAAUCCCUAAUACUCAGAGCCUCUACUCCAAGUAACAGAAAUUCUGACUUUUCUGAUCCGGUAAUACCGAUCAACGAACCGAGUUACCCUAGGGAUAACAGCGCAAUCUCCUCUAAGAGCCCAUAUCGACGAGGAGGUUU